rnacentral:lncRNA from 1 species
AUGCAGAUAUGCUGGGGAUGGAGUAAGUAUAAUGGAAGAACAAUAGGCCUUUAUUUGAUGGCUUUUAGCUUUAAGAUGCUCAAUGAGGAGGGUCAAGGAGAUUUUGUUCUUUUAUUUGCCAUUGAUUGGCCUUUGGUUGAUAUAUCUGAUUUCAUGUACUCCACAGGCACAACAAAAAGCUAUCAAGUUGCUUUCUUGUGUGCUUUUGAUGAAGUCGCAGACUUUUAUCGGUCCCAGCUUAUCACAAGUGAAACUCGACGUGGCAUAGUUGUUGCCACGGCAUUGGAGGUUGAUAAAGCUUCAAAUUGCCUAUCCACCAUAGCUGCAACUACAAUGAUGUUUUUGCACAAUCGUGACUACCAGCGGUAUGCUUUGUUGGAAGAGGUGAGAAACUCCUUGUUGAAAGAACCAACCCUACAUGACGCCAUUAAGAUUGCUGUGACCUAUAGGAAGCAAGAGCUACUGCAAUUGGAAGAACAAAACAACGAUCCAGCAGAGCCAGAAGUGGUGAUAGUUGAAGAUGAUGAAGUGGUGAUUGAACCAGUGCCAAAAAAGAAGCGCACUGGCAAUAAGGGAUUCACUAUCCCUGAGGAGUUGGGGAGGGGGGGGCUAAUGCGAUUGGUCCCCCUCCCCCGCUCCGCACUCCUCCCACUUCUCCCCUUCCUCCUCCCCUUCUUCUCUUCCUAUUACAGUACACCACAAAAAAAAUUUAAAAAAACAAAAAGUUAGAAAAAUUUAU